rnacentral:rRNA from 1 species
GACGAACGCUGGCGGCGUGCUUAACACAUGCAAGUCGAACGAAGAGCGAUGGAAGCUUGCUUCUAUCAAUCUUAGUGGCGAACGGGUGAGUAACGCGUAAUCAACCUGCCCUUCAGAGGGGGACAACAGUUGGAAACGACUGCUAAUACCGCAUACGAUCUAAUCUCGGCAUCGAGGAUAGAUGAAAGGUGGCCUCUACAUGUAAGCUAUCACUGAAGGAGGGGAUUGCGUCUGAUUAGCUAGUUGGAGGGGUAACGGCCCACCAAGGCGAUGAUCAGUAGCCGGUCUGAGAGGAUGAACGGCCACAGUGGGACUGAGACACGGCCCAGACUCCUACGGGAGGCAGCAGUGGGGAAUCUUCCGCAAUGGACGAAAGUCUGACGGAGCAACGCCGCGUGAGGGAUGACGGCCUUCGGGUUGUAAAGCUCGGUUAAUCGGGACGAAAGGCCUUCUUGCGAAUAGUGAGAAGGAUUGACGGUACCGGAAGAGAAAGCCACGGCUAACUACGUG